AUACUUACCUGACGAGGACCAUACUGGGAUCAGGCAGCCAGUGGGUCCAGGGCGAGG
rnacentral:snRNA from 10 species